rnacentral:rRNA from 1 species
GGUGAGGAACCGCUCCCCAAGCCACGAUGCUAGCCGACUGAAAGGUGAUCGCCACCCUGGAGCUGGGACCCGGCCCAGACUCCUACGGGAGGCAGCAGUAGGAAUCUUCGGCAAUGGACGAAAGUCUGACCGAGCAACGCCGCGUGAGUGAAGAAGGUUUUCGGAUCGUAAAACUCUGUUGUUAGAGAAGAACAAGGACGUUAGUAACUGAACGUCCCCUGACGGUAUCUAACCAGAAAGCCACGGCUAACUACGUGCCAGCAGCCGCGGUAAUACGUAGGUGGCAAGCGUUGUCCGGAUUUAUUGGGCGUAAAGCGAGCGCAGGCGGUUUCUUAAGUCUGAUGUGAAAGCCCCCGGCUCAACCGGGGAGGGUCAUUGGAAACUGGGAGACUUGAGUGCAGAAGAGGAGAGUGGAAUUCCAUGUGUAGCGGUGAAAUGCGUAGAUAUAUGGAGGAACACCAGUGGCGAAGGCGGCUCUCUGGUCUGUAACUGACGCUGAGGCUCGAAAGCGUGGGGAGCCAACAGGAUUAGAUACCCUGGUAGUCCACGCCGUAAACGAUGAGUGCUAAGUGUUGGAGGGUUUCCGCCCUUCAGUGCUGCAGCAAACGCAUUAAGCACUCCGCCUGGGGAGUACGACCGCAAGGUUGAAACUCAAAGGAAUUGACGGGGGCCCGCACAAGCGGUGGAGCAUGUGGUUUAAUUCGAAGCAACGCGAAGAACCUUACCAGGUCUUGACAUCCUUUGACCACUCUAGAGAUAGAGCUUUCCCUUCGGGGACAAAGUGACAGGUGGUGCAUGGUUGUCGUCAGCUCGUGUCGUGAGAUGUUGGGUUAAGUCCCGCAACGAGCGCAACCCUUAUUGUUAGUUGCCAUCAUUUAGUUGGGCACUCUAGCGAGACUGCCGGUGACAAACCGGAGGAAGGUGGGGAUGACGUCAAAUCAUCAUGCCCCUUAUGACCUGGGCUACACACGUGCUACAAUGGGAAGUACAACGAGUCGCUAGACCGCGAGGUCAUGCAAAUCUCUUAAAGCUUCUCUCAGUUCGGAUUGCAGGCUGCAACUCGCCUGCAUGAAGCCGGAAUCGCUAGUAAUCGCGGAUCAGCACGCCGCGGUGAAUACGUUCCCGGGCCUUGUACACACCGCCCGUCACACCACGAGAGUUUGUAACACCCGAAGUCGGUGAGGUAACCUUUUUGGAGCCAGCCGCCUAAGGUG